CCCGAUCGACAAUGUCGGGUGACAUAUUGCUUUUCCUCCGUUUCUUUGUUAUUAUUAUUCUUAUUCUUCCAAUGAUUUUUGUCCGGCAGAUUUUUUGAAGGCAAUGGAACCAAUCUUAGUGAUAGUCAACUAUAAUGAGGAACACAAAAUUUCGGGUUGCAGUAGGUCAUAGGACCAUUAAAAAUGGCUGCCGUUACCAUGGAAACGGAAAAAUUGUGAAAAAUUCCACUUUUUGGUUUUAGGGAAUUAUUUGGAGAUGCUUAGACUUAGAAUCAUUAUAUUUUGAUACAAUGUAGGUGCCCACUAUAUACUUGUUUUGGAUGAUUUUUGGCAUUCAUUGGAACUACUAUGUUGCCAUGGAUACUACACCAAAAAUUUCCAAAAUAUCAAAAUGCUCCAAAUUUAAUGAAACUUCACAGGAACGAUGAGCAACAUUGGUAGAUGUGCAAUUUGGCGUUGGAAUUUCGAAAAUGUCUUGUGUUACCAUGGAAACAAGGCAAAAAUGGUCAAAACGCUUUAAAAAACCUUAAAAGUGGCAUUUACUUCCUUAAAAUGGUAGGUCAAAUUCAUUGAAACUCUGAUGGUAUGUUCCCUCCCAUGUACCAAUGGAGUAUCUGCCAUUAAAAAUUUGGAAUGGUCUGUGUUACCAUAGAAACCAGCCAAAAUGUCAAAAAUUUCAAAAACUUCAAAAUGCUUCAAACUUGAUGAAACUUAAUAUAUUUGUUGACUGUCUAGUCUGCAUGAGACUUUUGAAGUUGGAAUUUCCAAAAUGGCUACCGUUGCCAUGGAAACUGCAGAAAUGUCAAAUAUUUUCAAAAUGCUCCAAACUUAAUGAAACUUAAUAUUAUUGUUUACUGGCAUGUAUAGAUGAGACUUUUGACUUUGGAAUUUUCAAAAUGGCUGCCGUUGCCAUGGAAACAGCAGAAAUGUGA
rnacentral:lncRNA from 1 species